CAGUAGCCGCGGGAAUACGUAGGCGGCAAGCGUUGUCCGGAAUUAUUGGGCGUAAAGGGCUCGCAGGCGGUUUCUUAAGUCUGAUGUGAAAGCCCCCGGCUCAACCGGGGAGGGUCAUUGGAAACUGGGAAGCUUGAGUGCAGAAGAGGAGAGUGGAAUUCCACGUGUAGCGGUGAAAUGCGUAGAGAUGUGGAGGAACACCAGUGGCGAAGGCGACUCUCUGGUCUGUAACUGACGCUGAGGAGCGAAAGCGUGGGGAGCGAACAGGAUUAGAUACCCCGGUAGUCCCUGUCUCUUAUAC
rnacentral:rRNA from 1 species